rnacentral:rRNA from 1 species
UACGUAGGGGGCAAGCGUUGUCCGGAAUCAUUGGCGUAAAGCGCGUGUAGGCGGUCCGAUAAGUCCGCUGUGAAAGUCGAGGGCUCAACCCUCGAAUGCCGGUGGAUACUGUCGGGCUUGAGUACGGGAGAGGCGAGUGGAAUUCCUGGUGUAGCGGUGAAAUGCGCAGAUAUCAGGAGGAACACCGAUUGCGAAGGCAGCUCGCUGGAACGUUACUGACGCUGAGACGCGAAAGCGUGGGGAGCAAACAGG